rnacentral:lncRNA from 1 species
AUAAAUGUCAUGCAUUGCCGACUAAAUGACCGCGAGAAAAAGACGACGAAGUAUACUGCAUAGCCAAGUUGUUUGUUGUACCAAUUUCCUGACGCCAGUGCUUUGUAAAUGAUCUCUGCUAGGCAGCCCAUCACCAGAUGCAUCUGAAGAAAAAAGUUCACAAAGAUUGAGAAAAGUUAUGAGUCACAUAUGCUCUUCAGCACACAAGAGAAUGAGAAAACCACCCCGUACCUGAUAAUGCAUUUCUUGAAUCCAUCUGAACGUUACACCCACAGGAGAUCCUGCCGCAAGUACUACAUUUCCGAACAAUUAUCCUCAUUGAUGGUUUUGCAUUGACAGGUCCAUGAGCACGUCCAGGACCUUUUCGAUUGACUAUAAGAAUGCUGCUAAUUAGCUCCUGUAAAGAGCUGGAAACCAGAAAGCACACUCUGUAUUCUUUUAGU